rfam:Mesocricetus auratus contig033540, whole genome shotgun sequence.
GGAUGUAGGGGUGACCUGGCUGUGCCAUCUGUUGCCCCACUGAUCACCAGGGUUAAUUUGGCUGAUCUGACUGGCUAGGUGGGUGUUCUCUUCCUCCCUCACGGAUCCAUGUUUGUCCCUCCGGACAAACUGUGUUUGUCCGGGCAAAGCUGUGUUGAAGAGGACAGCCUUCCCCAAAUAGAGGAGGACUGGUCUUCAGUCAGGGGUAUAUAAGUAGCUGUGUUCCCCGCCAAUAACUUCCAAACAAGCUCUGAAGAAGAAGCUGGAUACAGGAAGACAAAUACUGUAUGUUCUCAUUUAUAUGUGGAAGUUUAAAAAGCUUAUCUUGUUUUUUUC